GACGAACGCUGGCGGCGUGCUUAGCACAUGCAAGUCGAACGUGAUUUUUAUGGAAAGCCCUUCGGGGACGGAAAUGAAAUGAAAGUGGCGAACGGGUGAGUAACACGUGAGCAACCUACCUUACACAGGGGGAUAGCCGUUGGAAACGACGAUUAAUACCGCAUGAGACCACUAAGACACAUGUUUUGGAGGUAAAAGAUUUAUCGGUGUAAGAUGGGCUCGCGUCUGAUUAGCUAGUUGGAAGGGUAAAGGCCUACCAAGGCGACGAUCAGUAGCCGGUCUGAGAGGAUGAACGGCCACAUUGGAACUGAGACACGGUCCAAACUCCUACGGGAGGCAGCAGUGGGGAAUAUUGCACAAUGGGGGGAACCCUGAUGCAGCGACGCCGCGUGAGCGAAGAAGGUUUUCGAAUCGUAAAGCUCUGUCCUAUGAGAAGAUAAUGACGGAUCAUAGAGGAGCCCCG
rnacentral:rRNA from 1 species